rnacentral:rRNA from 1 species
CCCUUAGAUGUUCUGGGCCGCACGCGCGCUACACUGACGAAUGCAACGAGCUUAUAACCUUGGCCGAAAGGUCUGGGUAAUCUCCAAAUUUCGUCGUGAUGGGGAUAGAUUAUUGCAAUUAUUAAUCUUCAACGAGGAAUGCCUAGUAAGCGCGAGUCAUCAGCUUGCGUUGAUUACGUCCCUGCCCUUUGUACACACCGCCCGUCGCUCCUACCGAUUGAAUGGUCCGGUGAAGCGUUCGGACCGUGGCCUUUGGACGGUUCGCCGUCUGUUGGCUGCGGGAAGUUCGUUAAACCUUAUCAUUUAGAGGAAGGAGAAGUCGUAACA